AUAUGAACUUCGCCAAGCUAAGGUACAUGUCUAGGGUAUGCUGCUGCAAUAUGUCUCAUUCAUUAACACUAUUUCAAUAUCUUUAGCGGCUUAGGGGCUAAAAUUUGAAACUAUUUAAUAUUUUUGGAGGACUGGUAUGGGCUGGAUUUAUGCGAUUGUAGAACGAUCAAGGGUUCUAAUGAGUAAAAAGAAUUACCUUAAGAUAUCUUCGAUUCAUCUUAAUAAAGUCAGACUUACUAAGUCUGAAUAAACCCUUGAAACAAAGAAACAUUUCAUCAUCUCCUAAAAAAU
rnacentral:misc_RNA from 1 species